rnacentral:tRNA from 2 species
GUAGAUAUAGUUUAAAUAAAACACUAAACUGUGAACUUAGCUAUAAGGGCUCAAAACCCCUUAUCUACC